AAGAUGGCUAUAAGAAUCUGGARGAUUUUUAUUACAAUAAGCAGAGAGUUUACAGCUGGUUUCCUGUUUGAAUGGUUUUUCCUUGAGCAAUCCCAUACACACACAGUCCUCAACAACAACAGCAACAAAAAAACCCCACAGCAAGUCUGUYAAGAGCACUGGCACAGAUGCCUGAAACAUCUCUCUUCCAGACAGGAGAGGACAGACUGCAGAGCUAUGGGAUUCGCUGCCUGUCUCAGCACAGAAGCCCCCUCRGACUGCCAGCUCUUCAGCACUUGGACUAGAUUUUUUUUAUGCCAGAUAGCAAUGCAAAGAACCCUUGGCUUCGGCUGCACCCUCUACAUAUUUGCUGAAGAGUCCUCAUCAUUGCCUCAGCUAAGAAUGGAAAUGAAUGUCUCAGAUGUUGGAUAUCCCAUGACAUGGAACUUCUCUUUCCUAACCAGCACUAAGUCUUACCUCCCAAACAGCACAGAGGAUAACUACAGUUCAUAGCAUCACGAGAAGAAGACAUUUCAGUUUCCGCUUCAGUGAGUAACCAUGAUGGGUUG
rnacentral:lncRNA from 1 species